AAUAAUGCAGUGAAAAGAAGAGUAAUAGGAUGGUACUAUUUACAGAGAGCCGUGGAUGGUGAAAGGCGGCAGUAGAAAAUCUUAUGAAGAUGGCCUUAGAGCAGACUUUUCGAGCUAGAUUCUAGUUAGGGAAGUACGGGUGCGACCGUUAUAUUGCAGGGUAAUAAAAGCUUAUUUAUUUAGUAAGUGGAGUUACUUAGUGAGAUAUUCUUUGGUGACAGAGAAUAUGAAGUAGAGUGGUAAAGCGUUUAUAACGCCUCUAUG
rnacentral:ncRNA from 1 species